rnacentral:rRNA from 1 species
CCUACGGGAGGCUGCAGUGGGGGAUAUUGCACAAUGGGGGAAACCCUGAUGCAGCGACGCCGCGUGUAGGAAGACGGUACCCGACUAAGAAGCCCCUGCUAACUACGUGCCAGCCGCCGCGGUAAUACGUAGGGGGCGAGCGUUAUACGGAGUUACUGGGUGUAAAGGGAGCGUAGACGGCGUCGCAAGUCAGUAGUGAAAGCCCGUGGCUCAACCGGGGAACCGCUUUGGAAACUGCGAGGCUGGAGUGCUGGAGAGGUAAGCGGAAUUCCUGGUGUAGCGGUGAAAUGCGUAGAUAUCAGGAGGAACACCGGUGGCGAAGGCGGCUUACUGGGAAUUUACUGACGUUGAGGCUCGAAAGCGUGGGGAGCGAACAGGAUUAGAUACCCGAGUAGUC